rnacentral:lncRNA from 1 species
AGUCCAUGUGAGUACGUGUGGGGCAAGGGAGAAAGCAUCGCUCCUGCCGAGAGCGGGGACAGAGCUCUGGGGAUCGUCUGAGAGGAUGAUCGGAGGGGGAGAAAUCUCCUGCCGACGUGGCAGCUCACUGUGAGCUGAGAAAUGGGCAGAGAAGUGGGCCCUGCGGGGGGGAAAGGCAGGAGCCAGCCCCUGGCAGGCCGCAGCUGAGAAAAAGCUUCUGGGUGAGGAGGCAGGCGUGUGUGCAGAGAGCGGGGGCAGCAGUGCCGCUGCUCAAUGAGGCGGGGGGGCACGUGGAGCCACAGGGCAGGCCCUGAGGGAAAGAAAGUGCCGGGAAGGGAGGGAGAGGGAUGGCAGGAAGGGAAAGAAAAGAUGUCCACAGUGACGCAGAUGCUCUGCCCCAGGUCCUGCGGAGGUCAGUCGCCUCAGACAAUGCAUGGGAGCGCAAGAGGGCCUUGCAGGCGUGCUCCCAGCUGCUGGCUGCUUGUGAAGAGCUUCGAACAGAAGAUGCCUGCAAGCACUUUGGCUCCUUGGUGGGAUUGCUGGCGCCUCUGACCUGUGACCCCAUGCCCGCGUCCCGCCAGUUGGCCGUCACCUGCCUGAGCUCCCUUCUCCGAAUCCAAGGUGAGUAGAGCAGGCGUGCGCCAGCCCUCUGCUCUCCUCCGCAGCACUACCAGCACCCCGCGGGCUGGACCCUGCUCACAGGAGGGAGAGGCACCGUGCCCAGCUGCCUUCUUAUCCCCACCCUGUCCUCUGUCUCUCCCCCAUGGAAAGAGGCUCAGUUUCCAGAAGCAUGACUUCCCUCUUCUCCCCGUGCUCUUUCCAGCCAAGGUGACCAACGCGCUCAUCAAGACGGGAGACAUCGGGAGCCUGCGUGAGGGGCUGAAUGCCGGCAGCACCAUCUCUCAGCUCCAGACCUCGUCCAAAAUCGCGAGGGUCUGUUGCAGCAGCUUCCCCCUGGAGCGCAGCGUGGACUUCAUGACCGCCAUCAGGGAGACCUUCCGGGAGGCCAAAGGGAUGCGUGCGCGUGCUGCUGGGAAGUGGAUGAUCACCUUUCUGCAGAUGCACGGGAAGGACAUCCACUGGGAGGUGCCAUCGAUCCUCCACAUCCUGCGCAGCUGCAUGCGCUCCAUGCAGCAGACCAUGCUCCUGCCCAUCCUGUGCCAGGC